UACGGAAGGGGCGAGCGUUGUUCGGAAUUACUGGGCGUAAAGGGCUCGUAGGCGGCCAACUAAGUCAGACGUGAAAUCCCUCGGCUUAACCGGGGAACUGCGUCUGAUACUGGAUGGCUCGAGUUUGGGAGAGGGAUGCGGAAUUCCAGGUGUAGCGGUGAAAUGCGUAGAUAUCUGGAGGAACACCGGUGGCGAAGGCGGCAUCCUGGACCAACACUGACGCUGAGGAGCGAAAGCCAGGGGAGCAAACGGG
rnacentral:rRNA from 1 species